rnacentral:lncRNA from 1 species
UUCGGAGCGACAAAUGAGCACUGAAGGACAAGUCAAAAAAGAAUGGAGACAGAACGGACUGAAAUUCUGUUGUGUUAUACUUUCUUGUUCCAUGGUACUGCUUUCACUCUGUAGAAUUUUGUACCCAGAGGAACUUUAAAUCUGUUUUGAGCCUUUUUUGCCUGGCAAUAUUCCUUUUCCAUCACUUUUCCCAGCACCCAAGGUCUCCUAGAUGCACCUGAAGCACACUCACCUGGUUUGAGGUCCAGUGCAGCAAGAGAUUCUGAGUGCAAGAAAUACAAGGUUGGACUAACAGUAAAUAAUACGUAGUUGUCAUGUCUUUCAUCUAAGAUUAUGAGAACCAAGUCGCCAACCUGAAAAUCUCUAAUCGCUAUUUUUUCAGAAUGUCUUGAGGAUACUGAUGACAUGCUCUGGGACAUCAAUCUUUGAUUUAAUCUCUUAUUCUCCUCUUCUUUCAACUGCAAAGUUCUUUCUAACAACAUGAUCCUCUGUUUUUCUUCAGACAUGUGGAUAUUUUCAUGCACAGCCAUCAUACUGGUUUCCAUGGCAGAGUCCAUCCUCCCUUCAGGUGCAAUGUCAGAAGCCAAUCUCUCUGUAUCAGUGGGAACAUCAGCUGCACAGGCUCCACAAGCUUCUGAAGU